CCCUUAGAUGUCCGGGGCCGCACGCGCGCUACACUGAAGCAAUCAGCGUGGCUUUCUCCCUGACCCGAAAGGGUUGGGAAACCCGUUGAAUCUCCUUCGUGAUAGGGAUUGGGGCUUGAAAUUGUUCCCCAUGAACGAGGAAUUCCCAGUAAGCGCGAGUCAUAAGCUCGCGUUGAUUACGUCCCUGCCCUUUGUACACACCGCCCGUCGCUACUACCGAUUGAACGGUUUAGUGAGGGCCUCGGAUUGGUCUCGGCCCGCUCUUUACCGGGCGGCGCCGUUGGUCGAGAAGACGCUCGAACUUGAUCGUUUAGAGGAAGUAAAAGUCGUAACA
rnacentral:rRNA from 1 species